AGGUCCUUCUUCUUAUCCCUGAACUGCUCCACCAGCCGCCUGACAAGGUGGAUAGCUUCUGUAGUGGAGCGACCCGUCAUGAAACCGAACUGGUUCCCAGAUAUAGAUGUCAUCUUCCUCACCCUCGCCUCGAUCACCUGCUCCCAGACCUUCAUGGUGUGACUUCUUAAUUUGAUACCCCUAUUGUUGUUGCAGCACUGGAUGUCCCCUUUGUUCUUG
rnacentral:lncRNA from 1 species